CUGUUAAUCUUGAAGUACAAGUGAGGUAGGCGGAAUGUAUGAUGUAGCGGUGAAAUGCUUAGAUAUCAUACAGAACACCAAUUGCGAAGGCAGCUUACUAAACUGUAACUGACGCUGAGGCACGAAAGCGUGGGGAGCGAACAGGAUUAGAUACCCUGGUAGUCCACGCUGUAAACGAUGAUCACUCGCUGUUGGCAAUACAUCGUCAGUGGCUGAGCAAAAGCAUUAAGUGAUCCACCUGGGGAGUACGUCGGCAACGAUGAAACUCAAAGGAAUUGACGGGGGCCCGCACAAGCGGUGGAACAUGUGGUUUAAUUCGAUGAUACGCGAGGAACCUUACCUGGGCUUAAAUGCAGAACGACGGUUCCCGAAAGGGAUCCUUCUUCGGACGGACUGCAAGGUGCUGCAUGGUUGUCGUCAGCUCGUGCCGUGAGGUGUCGGGUUAAGUCCCAUAACGAGCGCAACCCCUAUUGUUAGUUGCCAGCGAGUAAUGUCGGGGACUCUAACGAAACUGCCGGUGUAAACCGUGAGGAAGGUGGGGAUGACGUCAAAUCAGCACGGCCCUUAUGUCCAGGGCUACACACGUGUUACAAUGGUCGGUACAGAGGGCAGCUACUUGGCGACAAGUUGCAAAUCUCUAAAACCGGCCUUAGUUCGGAUUGAAGUCUGCAACUCGACUUCAUGAAGCUGGAAUCGCUAGUAAUCGCGCAUCAGCCAUGGCGCGGUGAAUACGUUCCCGGGCCUUGUACACACCGCCCGUCAAGCCAUGGAAGCUGGGGGUACCUAAAGUCCGUAACCGAAAGGAGCGGCCUAGGGUAAAACUGGUGACUGGGGCUAAGUCGUAACAAGGUAACCAAGGGCGAA
rnacentral:rRNA from 1 species